rfam:Tupaia chinensis contig173169, whole genome shotgun sequence.
CCAAAGGCUCUUUUCAGAGCCACCAACGUUUUCAAAGGGAGCUGG